AGCCCUUUAGUUUGAAACCCCGAAACCAGGUGAGCUACCCCGAGACCGCCUAUUUAAAUUUAGGGCUAACCCGUCUCUGUGGCAAAAGAGUGGGAAGAGCUCCGGGUAGAAGUGAUAGACCUACCGAACCUGGUGAUAGCUGGUUGCCUGAGAAAUGGAUAGAAGUUCAGCCUCGUACACCCCUAGUCGAGUAUAUAUUAUUAAGAUACUAGGGAAACAUACGAGAGUUAGUUGAAGGGGGUACAGCCCCUUUAACAAAGGAUACAACCUUCACAGGAGGAUAAAGAUCAUAAUAUAUAAAAUAUACUGUUUUAGUGGGCCUAAAAGCAGCCAUCUAAACGGAAAGCGUUAAAGCUCGGACAGAAACAAAUUUAUUAUUCUGAUAAUAAAUCUUACUCCCCUAACACUAUCAGGCUAACCCAUGCAUCCAUGGAAGAAAUUAUGCUAAAAUGAGUAACAAGAAGACACGCUCUUCUCCAAGCACAAGUGUAAGCCAGAUCGGACCACCCGCUGGAAAUUAACGAACCCAACCCAAGAGAGUAAUGUGGCCAAUAAGGAAAUCAAGAAAACCCCACAACUACGUGAUCGUUAAUCCCACACUGGAGUGCUAUUUAUAGAGGAAAGACUAAAAGAAAGGGAAGGAACUCGGCAAACACAAGCCUCGCCUGUUUACCAAAAACAUCGCCUCCUGCAACCAAACUGAGUAUAGGAGGUCCAGCCUGCCCAGUGACUACGGGUUCAACGGCCGCGGUAUUUUGACCGUGCAAAGGUAGCGCAAUCACUUGUCUUUUAAAUAGAGACCUGUAUGAAUGGCUAAACGAGGGCUUAGCUGUCUCCCCCUUCCAGUCAGUGAAAUUGAUCUAUCCGUGCAGAAGCGGGUAUAAGACUACAAGACGAGAAGACCCUUUGGAGCUUAAGGUACAAAAUCCAACCACGUCAAGAAACUCAGUAAAAAGUAAGAACUUAGUGGAUCCUGGAAAUUUACCUUCGGUUGGGGCGACCACGGAGGAAAAACCAGCCUCCGAGUGGAAUGGGUUAAAUUCCUAAAACCAAGAGAAACACCUCUAAGCCACAGAACAUCUGACCAAUAAAUGAUCCGGCCUAUAAAGCCGAUCAACGAACCAAGUUACCCUAGGGAUAACAGCGCAAUCCUCUCCCAGAGUCCAUAUCGACGAGGGGGUUUACGACCUCGAUGUUGGAUCAGGACAUCCUAAUGGUGCAGCCG
rnacentral:rRNA from 1 species